GACGAACGCUGGCGGCGUGCUUAACACAUGCAAGUCGAACGAUGAAGCUGGAACUUGCUCCGGUGGAUUAGUGGCGAACGGGUGAGUAACACGUGAGCAAUCUGCCCUUGACUCUGGGAUAACUGCGGGAAACUGUAGCUAAUACCGGAUACUUUCACUGGAAGGCAUCUUCUGGUGAAGAAAGAAUUUCGGUCAAGGAUGAGCUCGCGGCCUAUCAGCUUGUUGGUGAGGUAACGGCUCACCAAGGCGACGACGGGUAGCCGGCCUGAGCGGGUGACCGGCCACACUGGGACUGAGACACGGCCCAGACUCCUACGGGAGGCAGCAGGGGGGAAAAUUGCACGAUGGGCGCAAGCCUGAUGCAGCAGCGCCGCGUGAGGGAUGAAGGCCUUCGGGUUGUAAACCUCUUUUAGCAGGGAAGAAGCGAAAGUGACGGUACCUGCAGAAAAAGCACCGGCUAACUACGUGCCAGCCGCCGCCGUAA
rnacentral:rRNA from 1 species